GAAUUUCAGGCUUCAGGAUUUCAGAGGCCAAAUUCCAUCUGGCCUAGUCUGCCUGGCUCACGGAAGGAGGUGGAACAGCUGUGCGCACAUCUGCCAGAGGAGCUCUUUAAAGAGCAGAGAGGAUGCUAUUUUCCUACCAGCAGUAGCAGCAGCAGGAUAAGAAAACCGAAGUUCACCAAAGUAAAGUGACUUGUCCAAGACCUCACAGCUAUCAAGUAGAGAAACUGGGAUUUGGAUGCAGGUCUGUCUGACUCCAGACACCGCGAUCUUAACCAUCGAGGCAGAGUUUCUACCUUUUAGGAAUUUCCAAAUAGAGGAGACAACCUCAGGACUUGAACAAUGCAGAAACACAGUCAAAAAUACAAAGAGCUAGGGAGUGAUGCCUAUAUUGUGCUGUGAGGGUUAAUAUCGCUUCCUGUCAAAGGACAAUCUAAGGGAGGUGAUAUUUGUUAAUAUACAAGGUUUUUUUUAAAAGAAGGGGUCAGCUUUGAACACAGUAGUGAUCGCAACUGGGGAGAAGAGCAACCAGGAAGAGGAUAUAUCAUAAGCAAAAGCACUGGUGUGGGAAAGAAUAGGGAUUUGGUGGGAAGUGUGAACGAUACCACUGGUUGGUGUGAAAAUACAGGCAAACCCGAAUAGCUCAUGUCCUCUCAAAUGUUUGUUCAGAAGCCACCAUCUCAGUGAUGCCUAAGCUGACAAUCCCAUUUACAGAUGCAUCAAAAUUUGCCCUCCUUGUUCCUCUUUUCUGCUCUAUUUUUUCUCCAAAGAACUUUUC
rnacentral:lncRNA from 1 species